UUCAUUUGUAAAGUGAAUAAGGAAAUAAGAUUGCAAAAUGGCCCAAUAUGUGCCUAAUUAAGCUUUUUCAUUUGUAACUUUUGAGCAAAAUUCAAUAGCCCUUUCCCUUGCCGCCUCAGAGAAAAUCCUAAAAAUAUGAAAAAAAAAAGAAAGUAUAAUAUGUAUAGAUAUUAAAAGGGGAAAGGAGUUUCAGAGAGACUUGGCGAGGGUUGUAUUUGACAUUCGACUUGAUUAACAUUCGCCCUCCUUUGCUAUUCUUAUCUUUUAUGUCAAAGAAAGAGUGCCCAAAGACGAAGAUUUAGAGUGGCUGUCACAAGAGAUCGCCGAAAGCUGGCAGCCACUUGGACGUCGCCUACAAAUCGCGGAGGCAAAGCUUACAGCGUUUCACAAGGAAAAUGAGGAAUAUUCUGAAAAAGCCUACAAAAUGUUACUGCACUGGAAACAGAAGGAAGGACCAGCUGCAACAUUUGAGGUCCUGUGUGAUGCUUUGUGUCAUCAGUUAGUAAAGCGAAGAGACUUAGCCAGUAGAAUUUUAGAGUGGAAUGAGUGAAAUUACUUCCCAGGCCCUUAUUUUUGAAGAGCCUUGUUAGAACUUCACCCACCACAAAUUGCUCUUAGUAUCGCACUUGAAAUUGAAUGCUUAUCUCAACCCUCCACUUUUGCUACAUUGGCAAGGCAAGCAUUUAAGGUCAUUAAACUAAUGUCUUUCUUUUAUUCGCAUCCUUGGAGCAACGAUAAAAUUAUCAUUUUCAAUAAAUAUAUCAGGUGACUCACCACAAUUUGCAAGAACCGUCCAACUUAUCGUUGAAAGGAUUCUUUGGGCUCAAAACCGACGUUCUCCUUUGAAUCAGGCGGCAGCGCAUCACUCUCAAAUCUCCAGACCUAACAUUUAAACCUAAUAGGUUUCAAGACCGUUUCAGUUUCAUAUAGCCCAGAAGCAGUCGUUGCCCUGUUAUUGGCUAACAUUUCAUUUUCUGGAAAAUUGACCAUGCAUUUUGGCCCACACCCUCAUUUCGGCUAGCUUGUUUCUGUUUAUCUCUUGUGAGUUUUGCAUUCAAGAGAACAUGCGUGCAAAAAGUCAAACAAAAAUUAAAAAAAAAAAUGCAAACUGUCUCCAUCUUUGCUCACAAUUAGCCUCUAGUAAGAGAAAAAACGCGAUGUAUUUUUCCCCUCAAAUAUGUUUUUACCUGUGAGAUGAAUGAACUUAUCCCUUUAACUCUCAGGAAUUGAUCGAUCGGGUCAUAACAGGUCAACAGUUGAGCACUUUAGCUCGCUUCGUGUCAAGUUCAAACCUCUUCCUCUAUCGAGCGUUUGAAAUCAUCGCUGUCAGCGGCCACGAAAGGACACGCCUUUUGGCAGUUACAGACCUCACUUCAUUUGAUGUAGAUCAAAUGACAGCAAAGUGACAUGGCUUUAUACCUAACACCAAUUCUUCAAGAAAUGGCACAGCUACAUGUUAACGUAAUAUGCUGAAAUUUUAACUAUUCAAUAAAAAUCUUCAUGCAGAUUUACCAACACUAAAAUAAACAGUAUAUAGCGGCUUCAUGACAAACACAAAUUCCUCAAGGAAUAGGUAAAGUAGCCUUUCCUUUGAAUCAUACCGAAAAUUACUCUUCCUCUUUGUCAAAAAUCUUGUUACAGAUUUGCCUGUAACUAAAUGUUCGUCAUAGAGACUUUACACCUAGGAAAUGUUCUUCAAGAAAUUGAUACAGCAACUUUUCUUUUGAAUCCUAUUGAAGAUUAAAACAAUAAUUAAGUUGACAGUGACAACAACAAUCCCUUAACAAGGAUAAAUAUCCUUGCUGGUGUAUGACUAUAAUUCUGUCAACUAGUGGUUUAUAUUUAGUUUGAGAUUCCUUACUCUGGUUCAGUAACUUUUCGUAUAAUAAUCACAUGAUUGUAAAUAAAAAUUACAAAUGGUAGCA
rnacentral:lncRNA from 1 species